UACGGGGGGGGCAAGCGUUGUUCGGAAUUACUGGGCGUAAAGGGCUCGUAGGCGGCCAACUAAGUCAGACGUGAAAUCCCUCGGCUUAACCGGGGAACUGCGUCUGAUACUGGAUGGCUUGAGUUUGGGAGAGGGAUGCGGAAUUCCAGGUGUAGCGGUGAAAUGCGUAGAUAUCUGGAGGAACACCGGUGGCGAAGGCAGCAUCCUGGACCAAUACUGACGCUGAGGAGCGAAAGCCAGGGGAGCAAACGGG
rnacentral:rRNA from 1 species